rnacentral:lncRNA from 1 species
CCCUGCCAGUUUUCUCAAUAGCCUUUGGGGGCCUUUGAGAAUAAGAUCUUCUUAUGCUAGCAUUUGAAUCAUCAACAGGUGAUAACCUAUUUCUGGAACUGACAGCAGAAUCAAAUGAUUUUAUUCUAAUUGGCGCUAUAACCUUCUGGUAUGCAGGAUCAUCCUUCAGAGCAGCAGGUAUGACUGGAACUGUCUCCAUGCUACAUUGUGAUGGAUCAAUAACAAACUGACCAGAGCCAGUCCAUGCUAAGUCAAUUCUGUCAGAAAUAUUGGAGGCAGAAGAUUGAGACUUCUGCAACAUCGUUUCAGCUUUAAGUUCAUCAGCCAGCACUACUUCACUCUGUAUUUUACAUGGGCCCAGGGCAGAGCUGAUACCAGCUGAGCCAG